AAGUCAAGACAAAUAGUCAAAGUCUAUGCUAUGUUCAUCAUCUAGCAAAUCUCUUAAGACUACAAGAGAAGACUAUGUUCGUCCAGAACUUCGUCAAUAAUCAUUUGCGGUACACAUGAUCAUCUCAACCUUUAAAGAGUAGAGAAUAUUUUUCCAACGAUCGUAUAAUGUGAAUCAUGGACCAUGAUUCACUCCUUGUUGAGUUUGGCUAAGAAUAGGCUACAUAAUAGUAAAAAUGUCGCAAUCUUUCUCAUCUUCUAAAACCUUCACAUUUGUCUUUUAGCAAAGCUUGUAGUCUUUCAUCCACUUGGGCUUCAUAGUGGUGCGCUUGUCCUAUGGGGUAUAUGACUUCUAGCAAUUCCUCAUCAUCUGGCCCAUGUUCAAUUGGACCAAUAUAUAACACCAUAAUCAUGAGUCAUAACCGACAUGUGAACAAGCUUGCUGCAAUUUAACAUUUGGCUGCACCUCAAGCUAUAAAAUCAAUAUGUUCCAACCUUUUUGUAUUUAAUGCACCGUCUGAAAAUCCUCAAGUUGCUUCACAAUUGCAAGUUGCAUCUUUGGCUGGACAUAAUCCAUAUUGUCAAAAAAAUAAGAAAAAAGACCCACAUGUUGUCUGUCUUACAGAACAUAAGUAACAUCAAAUAGUCAACUACUAAUUA
rnacentral:lncRNA from 1 species